rnacentral:rRNA from 1 species
GGCGAAAGCACGUUCAAUGCACCAAUUCCCUAUGGAUCACUGAAGUUGAGCAACGUUGCGCGUGGUUAGUAUCCGGAUGGGUGACCAUCUGAAUUCUGGGCGUCC